GACGUAGGAUGCAAGCGUUGUCCGGAAUUAUUGGGCGUAAAGAGUUCGUAGGCGGUUGCCUAAGUCUGAUGUUAAAGCCCGGAGCUCAACUCCGGCAUGGCAUUGGAAACUGGGCGGCUAGAGUGCGGUAGAGGUCUCGGGAAUUCCAGGUGUAGCGGUGAAAUGCGUAGAUAUCUGGAGGAACACCGGUGGCGAAAGCGCGAGACUGGGCCGUAACUGACGCUGAGGAACGAAAGCCAGGGGAGCAAAAGGG
rnacentral:rRNA from 1 species